rnacentral:rRNA from 1 species
UACGUAGGUGGCGAGCGUUGUCCGGAUUUACUGGGCGUAAAGCGCGCGUAGGUGGCCCCUUAAGUUUAGGGUGAAAUCUCUCGGCUCAACCGGGAGGGGUCUUUAGAUACUGGGGGGCUUGAGGGCAGCAGAGGUCGGUGGAAUUCCCGGUGGAGUGGUGAAAUGCGUAGAUAUCGGGAGGAACACCAGUGGCGAAGGCGACCGACUGGGCUGACCCUGACGCUGAGGUGCGAAAGCGUGGGGAGCGAACCGG